AACUGCCCAUUUGCCUUUCUCAUCGGAUCUAAACAUGGGUCAAAGUGGUUACAAAAAGAGGAAAAGUCACAUUGAAACUGACUUCAGUGCUUUUGUAGCCCGUAGGCUAGGUUCAAACAAUU
rnacentral:snoRNA from 1 species